UGCUUGGGAACUUGCCUUUGCGAGGGGGAGUAACCACUGGAACGGUGGCUAAUACCGCAUAAUGUCUACGGACCAAACGAGGGCUUUCGGGCUCUUGCGCAAAGAGAGGCCCAAGUGAGAUUAGCUAGUUGGUGGGGUAAAGGCUCACCAAGGCAACGAUCUCUAGCUGUUCUGAGAGGAAGAUCAGCCACACUGGGACUGAGACACGGCCCAGACUCCUACGGGAGGCAGCAGUGGGGAAUAUUGCACAAUGGGGGAAACCCGUGAUCCAGCCAUGCCGCGUGUGUGAAGAAGGCCUCG
rnacentral:rRNA from 1 species